GAUGAACGCUGGCGGCGUGCUUAACACAUGCAAGUCGAACGGAAGAUAUGCAGAGAUGAGAUUUCGGUCAAAUCAAGUGUAUCUUUAGUGGCGGACGGGUGAGUAACGCGUGGGUAACCUGCCAUAUACAGGGGGAUAACACUUAGAAAUAGGUGCUAAUACCGCAUAAGCGCACAUGGCCGCAUGGCCAGGUGUGAAAAACUCCGGUGGUAUAUGAUGGACCCGCGUCUGAUUAGCUAGUUGGUGAGGUAACGGCCCACCAAGGCGACGAUCAGUAGCCGGCCUGAGAGGGUGGACGGCCACAUUGGGACUGAGACACGGCCCAA
rnacentral:rRNA from 1 species